rnacentral:lncRNA from 1 species
GCCAGAAGUGCCUGCAUUUAAUGGAAGACAUAGAUUUUACCUUUGCAAAUCUCUAUGAAGAAAAACAUGGGACAAAUACUGAGAAGCUGAGGGCCUCAGCACAAGCACAGCUGGCUCAGCUGGGCCAGGUCCAGUUGUCUUCUCGAUGGAGUGAGUGGCUCCAGUGUGAGCAGUCCGGGGUCUCGAGCGUGCACACGCCAGGCUGGCUUUGACCACAGGAAUGAGCUGUUGGAGUACCUGAGAGCAACAGAGCAAAAAGAAAUCAGAAUAAAAGACAUUUGUUCUAAGUAUAAAUGUGCA